UACGGAGGGAGCUAGCGUUGUUCGGAAUUACUGGGCGUAAAGCGCACGUAGGCGGCUUUGCAAGUUAGAGGUGAAAGCCUGGAGCUCAACUCCAGAACUGCCUUUAAAACUGCAUCGCUUGAAUCCAGGAGAGGUGAGUGGAAUUCCGAGUGUAGAGGUGAAAUUCGUAGAUAUUCGGAAGAACACCAGUGGCGAAGGCGGCUCACUGGACUGGUAUUGACGCUGAUGUGCGAAAGCGUGGGGAGCAAACAGG
rnacentral:rRNA from 1 species